GAUGAACGCUGGCGGCGUGCUUAACACAUGCAAGUCGAACGAUGAAGCCCAGCUUGCUGGGUGGAUUAGUGGCGAACGGGUGAGUAACACGUGAGCAACCUGCCCCUGACUCUGGGAUAAGCGCUGGAAACGGGGUCUAAUACUGGAUAUGUCCGGUCACCGCAUGGUGUGCGGGUGGAAAGAUUUUUCGGUUGGGGAUGGGCUCGCGGCCUAUAAGCUUGUUGGUGAGGUAAUGGCUCACCAAGGCGUCGACGGGUAGCCGGCCUGAGAGGGUGACCGGCCACACUGGGACUGAGACACGGCCCAGACUCCUACGGGAGGCAGCAGUGGGGAAUAUUGCACAAUGGGCGGAAGCCUGAUGCAGCAACGCCGCGUGAGGGAUGACGGCCUUCGGGUUGUAAACCUCUUUUAGCAGGGAAGAAGCGAAAGUGACGGUACCUGCAGAAAAAGCACCGGCUAACUACGUG
rnacentral:rRNA from 1 species